AUUGAACGCUGGCGGCAGGCCUAACACAUGCAAGUCGAGCGGAAACGAGUUAUCUGAACCUUCGGGGAACGAUAACGGCGUCGAGCGGCGGACGGGUGAGUAAUGCCUAGGAAAUUGCCCUGAUGUGGGGGAUAACCAUUGGAAACGAUGGCUAAUACCGCAUGAUGCCUACGGGCCAAAGAGGGGGACCUUCGGGCCUCUCGCGUCAGGAUAUGCCUAGGUGGGAUUAGCUAGUUGGUGAGGUAAGGGCUCACCAAGGCGACGAUCCCUAGCUGGUCUGAGAGGAUGAUCAGCCACACUGGAACUGAGACACGGUCCAG
rnacentral:rRNA from 1 species